UACGUAGGGGGCAAGCGUUGUCCGGAAUCAUUGGGCGUAAAGCGCGUGUAGGCGGCCCGGUAAGUCCGCUGUGAAAGUCAAGGGCUCAACCCUUGGAUGCCGGUGGAUACUGUCGGGCUAGAGUGCGGGAGAGGCGAGUGGAAUUCCUGGUGUAGCGGUGAAUGCGCAGAUAUCAGGAGGAACACCGAUUGCGAAGGCAGCUCGCUGGAACGUAACUGACGA
rnacentral:rRNA from 1 species